GGGCCCGUGGCUAAAUGGUAGAGUGUUGGACUCAAAAACCAAAGGUCGCGGGUUCAAAUCUCUGGUGAUCCA
rnacentral:tRNA from 1 species